rnacentral:rRNA from 1 species
GACGAACGCUGGCGGCGUGCCUAAUACAUGCAAGUCGACCUUAGUGGGGACGGGUGAGUAACACGUGGGUAACAUCCUAUAAGACUGGGAUAACUUCGGGAAACCGGAGCUAAUCCGGAUACUUAAUGAUUGAUCCGAGCGGCAUUAGCUAGUUGGUAAGGUAACGGCAUACCAAGUCAACGAUGUAUAGCCGACCUGAGAGGGUGAUCGGCCACACUGGAACUGAGACACGGACCAGAAUCCUACGUGAGGCAGCAGUAGGGAAUCUGCCGCAAUGGGCGAAAGCCUGACGGGGCAACGCCGCGUGAGUGAUGAAGGUCUUCGGAUCGUAAAACUCUGUUAUUAGGGAAGCGGUACCUAAUCAGAAAGCCACGGCUAACUACGUGCCAGCAGCCGCGGUAAUUC